CAGCCGCCGCGGGAAUACGUAGGGUGCAAGCGUUAAUCGGAAUUACUGGGCGUAAAGCGUGCGCAGGCGGUUAUAUAAGACAGAUGUGAAAUCCCCGGGCUCAACCUGGGAACUGCAUUUGUGACUGUAUAGCUAGAGUACGGCAGAGGGGGAUGGAAUUCCGCGUGUAGCAGUGAAAUGCGUAGAUAUGCGGAGGAACACCGAUGGCGAAGGCAAUCCCCUGGGCCUGUACUGACGCUCAUGCACGAAAGCGUGGGGAGCAAACAGGAUUAGAUACCCCAGUAGUCCCUGUCUCUUAUAA
rnacentral:rRNA from 1 species